GACGUAGGGCGCGAGCGUUGUCCGGAUUUAUUGGGCGUAAAGCGCGUGUAGGCGGCUAUGCAAGUCGGAUGUGAAAGCCCUCGGCUCAACCGGGGAAGUGCACCCGAAACUGCAAAGCUAGAGUCUCGGAGAGGAUCGUGGAAUUCUCGGUGUAGAGGUGAAAUUCGUAGAUAUUCGGAAGAACACCAGUGGCGAAGGCGGCUCACGGAC
rnacentral:rRNA from 1 species